ACUGUGUUGCUGGAGGACCCAGAGCAGGAGUAGAUGAGAGCAGCUGCUGGAGGAACUUGGAAAAAAUUGGAUAAACCGCUAAAGGUUAACAUCUGCGGUAACCCUGUGGUGGGAAGGCAGAUGAGGGAGAAUGGUUGCCCUCAGUUAUGCUACAAAUGGAAAUAAGGGAGAAGGGACUCCGAUACAUUGCAUUUAAGGCCUCCUCACUGCAGCCAGCACAGCACAAGCACACAUCCACGGAUUGGUCCAGGCACUCGAGCCAGCAGGCGAGGCAUCUGCGAAGCUGAGACGCCAACUUUCUUUGCAACAGCAUCCUGAGAAACCACAGAAGACUCCUCCUUCCAAGAGUUCAACGUGGUUUAUGGAUAAUCACGUGCUCACUGUACCGUGCUGCAUCAGUUUAAUUUAA